CGCGGUGCAUUAGCUAGUUGGUAGGGUAACGGCCUACCAAGGGCGAUGAUGCAUAGCCCGAGUUGAGAGACUGAUCGGCCACAUUGGGGACUGAGACACGGCCCAAACUCCUACGGGAGGCAGCAGUAGGGAAUCUUCCACAAUGGACGCAAGUCUGAUGGAGCAAACGCCGCGUGAGUGAAGAAGGGUUUCGGCUCGUAAAGCUCUGUUGUUGGUGAAGAAGGACAGGGGUAGUAACUGACCCUUUGUUUGACGGUAAUCAAUUAGAAGUCACGGCUAGCUACGUGCCAGCAGCCGCGGUAAAU
rnacentral:rRNA from 1 species